rnacentral:tmRNA from 1 species
GGGGUUGUACUGGUUUCGACGGGGGUUUAGAAAUUAUGUUAGCCAUUCAUGGACCAGGACCAUGUAAAAACUUGGAAAACUUAAAUAUAAACGCAGAAGAUAAUUUUGCAUUAGCUGCCUAGUUGCAGCUUGUCAGACCAAGGCAUCCCGCGGCUUUGGAUUCUGGCACCGACUUAGUGGGAAACUCUCAGGUCUAAGCUUUGCGAUUUGAGAAAAUUUAUGAAGCUACCAAGAUGAUGAGCCUGCCUAUGGGCGCUUUAUCGAGGGAAUGUCAAAACAUAAGGCUGUAAUGGGAGAAGAUGUAAUGGAAGAGCCUUCGGACGCGGGUUCGAUUCCCGCCAGCUCCACU